rnacentral:rRNA from 1 species
UGCGGUAUCCUGACCGUGCWAAGGUAGCAUAAUAAUUUGCCUCUUAAUUAGAGGCUAGAAUGAAUGGACAAACGAAAGUAUUACUGUUUCUUAUAAAUAAAUAAAAAUUUAUGUUUAGGUGAAAAAGCCUAAAUUCUAUUAAAAGACAAAAAGACCCUGCAGAGCUUAAUAUAAAUUUUCCCUUUUCGAAUUAAAAUAUUUUGUUGGGGCGACAAAAGAUAAUUUAAAGCAUCUUUAACAUAAAAGGGUUACAUCCCUAUUAAUAGAUCCAAAUAUGAUCAAAGAUUAAAGCUACCUCAGGGAUAACAGGCUUAUCUUUCUCAAGAGUUCAAAUCAACAGAAAGUUUUGGCACCUCGAUGUUG